UACGAGAGGCCCAAACGUUAUUCGGAUUUACUGGGCUUAAAGAGUUCGUAGGCGGCGCAGCAAGUAGGGUGUGAAAGCCCUCGGCUCAACCGAGGAAUUGCGCUCUAAACUACUGCGCUCGAGGAACCUAGAGGUGAGCAGAACUGAUGGUGGAGCGGUGAAAUGCGUUGAUAUCAUCAGGAAUACCGGAGGCGAAGGCGGCUCACUGGGGGUUUUCUGACGCUGAGGAACGAAAGCCAGGGGAGCGAACGGG
rnacentral:rRNA from 1 species